GAGUGGAAGUUAAGCAUCAGGGAUUUGUGGCGCUUUUUUCAUUUGAUGAAAGAAUGUGUCUGCAAAGAUAAAUCCUUAGGAAAGUCCGUCCUCCUACAUGUCUUUUUACGGACAUGUAUACCCUUGUAGAAAUACAAGUCCCCGAGAGGGGAAGCAAUGCAUCAGAAACGAUACGUGCCAUGGUUAAGAUUGAUACUGUAAAAGUGGACGUUUCCAUGGAAAACGAUGAAACGGGCAUCCAGUGGAGCAAGUGAGAAUUCACGCUUAGUCAAAUGCUAAAGUUCCUACCAGUUUUGGACAUAACGGUGCCAAAAUUACGACGGGAAUGAAACAAAAGGCGGCUUACUCUCCACAC
rnacentral:RNase_P_RNA from 1 species